UGCGAUGAGUCGAGUAACCACGAUUUAUGUGGUGAAAGUCGCAGCUAACACGGGGUAACCCACUCGCCGGAUUUGCGAGGUUAGUGAUUCUCACUGAGUUGUGGAGCCC
rnacentral:ncRNA from 1 species